CCCCGCUCUGCCUGGUCUAUGGUGGAAUCCCAGCGUUCCAUGCGCCUUAUUUGCAUCUCCUGCCGGCCCGCUAUUGUGCGCACAUUAGAACGAUUUCUGGUUGAAAUGGCACAAAGUGCAAAUGACAAGGACAAGCAUGUGUCUAGUGUGCUGAGGGACUGACUGGAUACAGAAACUAGCCCAGCAGAAACAUCCUGCUAUGAGGAACUGUGCACUGCCUAAUGAUGCUCCAGGACCCUGUCAAUGUGUUCUUGGGAGAGAGGAGUUUAUGUUAGAGACAUGCAAACAUUUCCCAGGGAAUACUGGAUUUGCUCUGCUUGUGAAACAUUCAGAUUGUGAAAUUUCCAGGGUACUUGGUUCUCUGAUAUUGUUCACAAAGUUUUGCCACGGAUGUCAAUGGGAGUUUUGCCAUUCACUUCAAUGAAGACAGGAUAUCACGCCAGCAGUUUUCGGUUAAGUUGUUUUUGGUUUUGGCUGAAACAAAACUGAAUGUUUUUCCAGUCUUCAACAACCAAAACACUUUUGUUUUUCUGUUUUUUGUUGUUGUUUCCCCUUUGUCCUUCCUUUAACCAUCCCUUGUUUCCACUGAGAAAGAAAGAAAGAAAGAGCCCCCAAACUGAAAAAUAAAAAAGGUUCAGGUUUUUGACAAAAACCUGAAAAAUUUUGGCUGAACCAAAAACCUUCA